AACGAUAAAGGUUGGUUCUUAGCUGAGAGCCACUGCAAACGAAACAGUUUUGUUUUUACCCAAUAGAUUUCAGGUUGCGGCUUAGGGUUGCAAAUACGGUGUUCCCAGAAGCUUAGAUCGCUGAGUGACUGAGGUGAAGGUGUCAAGCCAACAGCGUUGAGAAAUGAAGGGUAUGGCUUCCGGCGAAACAGGCCUGUUCCGUAUGUUGUUAAGUUUUUUUGACGCAUUCUUGAUCUAUUGGUAACUCAUGAAUCCCAUCGUAAUAAACAGGCUGCAGCGGAAGCUGGGCUAUACUUUUCACC
rfam:Chania multitudinisentens RB-25, complete genome.